GCAGAGAGUGGAUUAGUGGCGAACGGGUGAGUAACACGUGGGUAACCUGCCCAUAAGAGGGGGAUAACAUCCGGAAACGGAUGCUAAUACCGCAUAGGUCUUUGAGACGCCUGUCUCUUAGAUGAAAGGUGGCUUCGGCUGCCGCUUAUGGAUGGACCCGCGGCGUAUUAGCUAGUUGGUGAGGUAAUGGCUCACCAAGGCUGUGAUACGUAGCCGACCUGAGAGGGUGAUCGGCCACACUGGGACUGAGACACGGCCCAGACUCCUACGGGAGGCAGCAGUAGGGAAUCUUCCACAAUGGGUGCAAACCUGAUGGAGCAAUACCGCGUGAGUGAAGAAGGUCUUCGGAUCGUAAAGCUCUGUUGUUAGAGAAGAACAAGCCGGGUAGUAACUGCCCCGGCCUUGACGGUAUCUAACCAGAAAGUCACGGCUAACUACGUGCCAGCAGCCGCGGUAAUACGUAGGUGACAAGCGUUGUCCGGAUUUAUUGGGCGUAAAGCGAGCGCAGGCGGUCUUUUAAGUCUGAUGUGAAAGCCCACGGCUCAACCGUGGAGGGUCAUUGGAAACUGGAAGACUUGAAUGCAGAAGAGGAAAGUGGA
rnacentral:rRNA from 1 species